rnacentral:tRNA from 1 species
GGGGAUGUAGCUCAAAUGGUAGAGCGCUCGCUAAGCAUGCGAGAGGUAAGAGGUUCAACACCCCGCAUCUCCA